rnacentral:misc_RNA from 1 species
CCUCUCUCUCUCUCUCUAUCUCUCUUUCUCUCUCCCUUUUUUUAGUAAAGGGAAUUUAGUAAGGAGAAGAGAAUUAAAAGUAAAUAGUAAGGUAUUCUCCUUCAAAAGAUAUGCAAUCACACGAGAUGUGAGCUAGUGAUACUCUUUAAGAGUGCUAGAAGCAGAAAUCCAUAAAAGUAAUCUCCUCAAACGAGUUUUCUAAUCCCCUUUCUCAACCAUUUUAGCCUAUUCUUUUAUCUUAAGCUAAUCUCUACAAUGAACUUUCUUAGAAUUAUUCUUCAUUUCAGUGUUUAUCAGAAAUUAUUGGACCCCUAUCAAUUUGCAAUCUAGAUAACAAAAUCCAAAUUAUGGCUCAUUAGCAAUUUGGAAUGGACAAAUUAGCUUUUUGAGAUGCAAACAACCAUAGGUAGAGAAUCAAACCACCUUAAUCACAUAGAUAUUAGAUAAUUUGGUUAUUAUUAUGGUGAAAAUCUUAGGUUUUGGAUAAUUUUUAUACCAUUAAAAAUAGUUAGCAUAAUUGAAAUUAUUUUAUUACAGUAUAUUAGAAAAUUUUUGCAGUUAUUCUUAUACGGUAUUUUGCUUAUGUUUCAUUAUAUAUGCAAUCCUAAAAGGUACGUUACAUUGCUGAUAAUUGUAUUUCUUCACACUAAGGGUCUGUAAAGCCUACUCCCACCAAACCAAAUUUCUAGAAGAGGACAUUUGUGUUGCCAUUUUCAUUCCUUGUAUUGAAGUCAUUCAACGCUUCAAGCAACCUAGCUUCAAAUGACCUCCUAUAUAUAUAGAUAUAUAUAUUAAACAUUUGUUACUAAAAAACUUCUGCAUUCUGAUUCUUCAACCAUCUUUAAGACGUUAUGACAUUUCAUUUUAUUUGAUAUACUUAAAAUGCUUCCAAACACCCACCAGCACCUCCUCGCUGCAAGUGGCAGUUAUGGGCCUUGUCUAUUCAUUUCCUUGUCAAAUUCAUGUUUUAUUGUAAAUUGUGAAUUUUCAUUCCAUAGUAAUUCAUUAUGUUGCAGCUGCAACAGCAAGAAAAAGUAUUAGCAGUAGUUGGAUGAUGAUUGUUCCUCCACAUAUUUACAUCCAAUCAAAUCCUCAUCCAGAGCUAGCAAGUGUUCUAAAAGAACUGGAGUUAGUUUCUCUGGAUUUGUUUUUCCUUCUUGAUGCAUUUGCUUGUAAGGCAUGUUGGACCUUAAUAACCCUGCAUCUCCUUUUCUCAAUAGCGCUGAGAUAUUCAAUAAAAUUCAUAUGUUGCUUAUUGCUUUUCUGUUUAUGGUCCUUUGACUGAUCAAUUUUCCUGACAUUGUUAUUGCUCUAAUUGGCUGAUUCAAAGAACUUGAUUGAUUUUUCCCUGUUCUUGCCCAUCUAAAAGUUCAUAUGCUGUGCUUUCCUGGUUUUUUUUUUUUUUCCUCCUAGCAUUUCUUUGUCUAAGGCAAUAUUACAUUUUCUCUGUGGCACUGCUUCCAUUUCCAUUAGUUAUUUGUAUGCCACCAAAAUAAUAUCUACCCAAUUAGCAUGCAUGGUUUUAAAAGUUGAUUUUGAUAUUUUUCCUUUUCAGAUUGAUUUUUUGAAUAAAUUGGAAGAAUUGGGUUGAGAUUCUUUACAUGCUUUAUUUGUGAUUGAAGGAUGUAGACACCAUUUGAGCAACUGGCAUUUUGGGGACUCUAAAUGGAUAAUUCCCCUUAUGUCAGGCCUGAUGCAGGCCAGGUUGGUUCAAUAUGGAUAAAAAAUCUGCCGGACUACUAAAAUUUUUUGCCACAUCAAACACUUCAAAUCUAGAAGAAAAUUACAGGAAUUGUUGACAUUUGCUUGUUCCUUGUCAAGUAUUCUUUGGAGGAUGUUUGCACCAUUAUGCAUUAUAAAUAUCAUUCAUAGUUUAGUUAGAAAAUAAUUUACAUUCUUCAUGACACUCCUUUUUCCCUUUUGAAGUUCUUCUGUGUCACUGUUGAAAUAUGAGCAUGUAGAAUAUUUUGUCAUCUGGAAAUUCUAGCACAAGGUUUCCCAACAUAUUAGCAAUUCCCAACAGCAUUGUAUCUAGGGGUGGCAAUUCGGGUUGAUGGAUCGUGUUCGUGUUGUGUCAACACGCGAUACGAAUACGAUUAAGAUCGACAUGAACACGAUACGAUUAAUAAAUCGUGUCAAAAAUUUAAACAC